CCUACGGGAGGCAGCAGUGGGGAAUAUUGGACAAUGGGGGGAACCCUGAUCCAGCGAUGCCGCGUGAGUGAAGAAGUAUUUCGGUAUGUAAAGCUCUUUCAGCAGGGAAGAAAGAAAUGACGGUACCUGACUAAGAAGCCCCGGCUAACUACGUGCCAGCAGCCGCGGUAAUACGUAGGGGGCAAGCGUUAUCCGGAUUUACUGGGUGUAAAGGGAGCGUAGACGGCGGUGCAAGUCUGAAGUGAAAGGCGGGGGCUCAACCCCCGAACUGCUUUGGAAACUGGAUGGCUAGAGUGCAGGAGAGGUAAGUAGAAUUCCUAGUGUAGCGGUGAAAUGCGUAGAUAUUAGGAGGAACACCAGUGGCGAAGGCGGCUUACUGGACUGUAACUGACGUUGAGGCGCGAAAGCGUGGGGAGCAAACAGGAUUAGAUACCCCAGUAGUC
rnacentral:rRNA from 1 species